rnacentral:lncRNA from 1 species
UAAACUCAUUUAUAUUCUCACCUUGGUCGUAGAGGCGCGUAGGGUAUCUCUUGAGGUGGGCUUUUUGAGUGCACUUCACGUUAACCACCACGUGAAGUGAGACUCAGUCAAUGCCAAGGAACGGUUGCCUUUUUUUCAAAAUAAAAAUAAGUUUUAUGAUUAUAUAAAAUUUUUCACAGCCUUAGCAGACUCGGUUGGAUACCCCUGGUCCAGGUGUCCCCGAGUACAAGAUUUGGCAUGAGCCAAGUUUUGAGAAAUUCACGAGCCAUAUUGAUUAUUUGAAU